rnacentral:pre_miRNA from 1 species
UCUUAGAUGAGCAAAGAAAGUGGUUUCUUGAGACAGAAUCUCCUUCUAGUGAUGAUGGUGUGAA